UCCAAUCAGAACGCAAGAUUUUAAAGCCUCCCCCAGGCCGGUACUGCUGCCAUCCCAUCACCUUCGAAAGGUGUUCCAAGCACUGAAUCCAAGAUCACCCCUAGCCCCUCCGAGAAGUGUGGGUGGUAGUGCAACAGGGUGGUCCCCAGGAAAGGGGGAGGUUCCCUGCCCCACCCAAGGGAGGGUGGAGCUGAGCAGGAAGAGGAGAAGCUGCAGAAGAGACUGAGGAAGGAAGCAGGAUGGAGCCAGGAGACCUGGAGGAGGCGCAUGGAGCCUAGAGACACGUGAAGAAACUGCUUGUCUUUUGGUCGUGGACUGGGUGACACAGAUGUGGCUCUCUCUGCACGUGAACCCAGGCCUCUCGUGCAUCAUCUCAAUUCACCUUCACAAUAACACCAUAAGGUCAGAGCAGCUCCUGGAAAAUAGCUGUCCUGCCAGGGUCCACAUAUCCCAGAUGCCUCUGUGCUUGGCCAAGACCAUGUGACUGUUCUCACCAAUGGAAUGCCCUUAAGCUAGAGGCAUGUGAAUUAGAAAGAAAAAGAAAAGUGGAAGGCGUGGCUCCUGCACUUAAACAUCCCAUAAUCUUUUUAGGAACAAGAUAAAUCAUUCAUGAAAUAAUCAGAAAAGUCCCAAGAUGCUUUCAAUAAAGGAUGGAAUUAAUUGCAGUCAAAUGAAAAGCACCACUCUCUCAGGACAGCAGAGUUCUUUUGUCGAUGGAUGCUAUAAAACUGGCCACGAGAGUCCUUUUUCCUCUGCUCAGCCAUUGCUGUAGCUUAGCCAAAAAAUUCAGCAUAGAUGGAUGGACUGAGUCAAAUGAUUUUUUUAUAAUCCUAAGCUUUGAUUUUCUCUUCUAUCCUUGGAGAUGACAACAUUAUUUAUCUGAGACAACUGCUAUGAGAAUAAAAUGAAUCGGCCAAUAACAUUCACCCAUCCAUCCACCCAACAAAUGUCUGGACUUCUGCCAUGUGAUGACACUGUGAAGGUCUGGGCUGAGGGAUGUGAGGACACCCUACAAAGUGGAUAGGUUUGGGAAAUGGUGAGAGGCUCAGGUUAUAUUAUUAUCUUAUCCUUUGGGAGGAGUUCCAUGGAGCCUUCUGUUUGCCCACAGUCUAGGGUUUGUGACCUGGGGCUGUCCUUCCCCAGAAGCAGACUGUCUGGCACCUUUGGGAGACAAUACGUCUUCCUCCUGCCACAGGGUCAUCUAAAUCUUACAAUUGUGUUUUAACCUUGGGUUAAGCACCUAAGGCAUGCCCAGCCCUCUAGCUAUGCUAUCUCCUCUAAUGCACAGUCUUCUCUGAGAUAGGUCCUGUUUUCUCCAGUCAGUGGAUGAGGAAAUAGAUUCAGAGAGGGGAAGUGACUUGCCCAAGGUCACACAGCAUUUGCAUGGGCUGGGUCCCCAGGUGGUCUUUGGUUCUCCAGCCUCUGCUGUUUCCACUGGAUCCACACUUCUGCUUGACGGUGGAUCAUAGUAAAAAAAGAUUGGCUGUAGCAGUCAGGACAGUACAUUUAUUGAGUCCUGACUAAGCAGGUGACGCAAAGGCUUACCCCCUGCCUCUCCUUUCAUUUUCCAAGAAGACCCUAAGCCAUCUCCAUUCUAGAGAAAAUGUAACCAAGGCACAGAAAUGUUGAAUUUGCCUAAAGAACUAGACCUGAGAUCUACUCAAUUCCAGAGAUCAAACCUGAUUUAAAUUUAUUUAUAAAAUGCCACACAUUUUUAAAAAUCCACAAUGUGUAAAAAAAAUAAGUCCAAACCUCUUGGCUCUCCUGCCUCAGAAACAAAACUCCUUAUUGGCCUUUGUGUAUCCUUCCAUGCAAAUACAAAUACAAAUUUCU